rnacentral:rRNA from 1 species
UACGUAGGGUGCAAGCGUUGUCCGGAAUUAUUGGGCGUAAAGAGCUCGUAGGCGGUCUGUCGCGUCGGCUGUGAAAACUCGGGGCUCAACCCCGAGCCUGCAGUCGAUACGGGCAGACUAGAGUGCUGUAGGGGAGACUGGAAUUCCUGGUGUAGCGGUGAAAUGCGCAGAUAUCAGGAGGAACACCGGUGGCGAAGGCGGGUCUCUGGGCAACAACUGACGCUGAGGAGCGAAAGCGUGGGGAGCGAACAGG